rnacentral:rRNA from 2 species
GCUUAUCACGUCCUUCAUCGGCUCCUAGUGCCAGGGCAUUCACCGUGCGCCCUUUGUAGCUUGAUC